UGUCCAAUGCGGGAAUUGAACCCGGGUCGUUGUGGUCGAAAACCAAAUGGUUUAACCAGCCUUCUACCGACAUAUUAAAAGUAAAUUAGUCCAGUUCUAGGCUAAACAUAC